AGAGUUUGAUCCUGGCUCAGGAUGAACGCUAGCGGCAGGCUUAACACAUGCAAGUCGAGGGGCAGCGCGGGGCGGCAACGUCCUGGCGGCGACCGGCGGAAGGGUGCGUAACGCGUGAGCGACAUGCCCGUUGCCCGGGGACAACCGGUGGAAACGCCGACUAAUCCCCGAUGGGACGGAGGCCCUCAUGGGUCUCUGUUGAAAGUUACGGCGGCGACGGAUUGGCUCGCGUCCGAUUAGCUAGUUGGCGGGGUAACGGCCCACCAAGGCUACGAUCGGUAGGGGUUCUGAGAGGAAGGUCCCCCACAAUGGAACUGAGACACGGUCCAUACUCCUACGGGAGGCAGCAGUGAGGAAUAUUGGUCAAUGGGCGGAAGCCUGAACCAGCCAUGCCGCGUGAAGGACUAAGGCCCUAUGGGUCGUAAACUUCUUUAGACGCAGAGCAAUAAGGGUCUCGUGAGAUCCGAUGAGAGUAUGCGUAGAAUAAGCAUCGGCUAACUCCGUGCCAGCAGCCGCGGUAAUACGGGGGAUGCGAGCGUUAUCCGGAUUUAUUGGGUUUAAAGGGUGCGUAGGCGGAAGUGCAAGUCAGCGGUGAAAUCCCCGCGCUCAACGCGGGAGUUGCCGUUGAUACUGUACAUCUGGAAUGCUCUUGCCGUGGGAGGAAUGAGUAGUGUAGCGGUGAAAUGCAUAGAUAUUACUCAGAACACCGAUUGCGAAGGCAUCUCACGAAGGGGCGAUUGACGCUGAGGCACGAAAGCGUGGGUAUCGAACAGGAUUAGAUACCCUGGUAGUCCACGCAGUAAACGAUGAUGGCUAACUGUCGGGUUUUAGGAUUCGGCGGCCAAGCGAAAGCGAUAAGCCAUCCACCUGGGGAGUACGACCGCAAGGUUGAAACUCAAAGGAAUUGACGGGGGCCCGCACAA
rnacentral:rRNA from 1 species